rnacentral:rRNA from 1 species
AUUCCAGCUCCAAUAGCGUAUAUUAAAGUUGUUGCAGUUAAAACGCUCGUAGUCGGAUUUCGGGGCGGCUUCGUCGGUCUGCCGAUGGGUAUGCACUGACGCGGGCGUCCUUCCUUCCGGAGACGCGUCCUACUCUUAGCUGAGCGGGGCGUGGAGACGGAUCGUUUACUUUGAAAAAAUCAGAGUGUUUCAAGCAGGCAUCAUCGCUCUUGCAUGGAUUAGCAUGGGAUAAUGAAAUAGGACCUUGGUGCUAUUUUGUUGGUUUCGAGCACCGAAGUAAUGAUUAAGAGGAACAGUUGGGGGCAUUCGUAUUUCAUUGUCAGAGGUGAAAUUCUUGGAUUUAUGAAAGACGAACCACUGCGAAAGCAUUUGCCAGGGAUGUUUUCAUCA